UCACCAGGUUGAUCUGCCUGACGUGGAUGCUAUUCUCUGGGGCUAAGCCAUGCAUGUUUAUGAAGCCUUUAUGGGGGAUUGACGGACGGCUCAGUGAUAGUACGAUGAUUUGAUUGGGAGCCUGGAUGUAACUGUGGGAAACUGCAGGUAAGUUCUGGGGGUGGUAGUUUGUAGCUACUGCGUACCGAGUAAGUUGUAGGCCUAUCAGCUGGUAGUUAGGGUAAUGGCCUAACUAGGCGGAGACGGGAGACGGGGGAUCAGGGUUUGAUUCCGGAGAGGGAGCCUGAA
rnacentral:rRNA from 1 species